GUACAUGCCUAUAGCAUAGUGUUAAUGCAUCGGAUCCCAUUAAAACUCUGCAGUUAAGCGUGCUCGGGAUAGAGUAGUAUUGGGAUGGGUGACCUUCUAGGAAAUCAUAGUGUUUUAC
rnacentral:rRNA from 1 species